AACGAACGCUGGCGGCGUGCCUAACACAUGCAAGUCGAGCGCGAAAAGGGCAACCUGAGUAGAGCGGCGCACGGGUGCGUAACACGUGGGUAAUCUGCCUUAGAGUCGAGGAUAACCUUCCGAAAGGUUGGCUAAUACUCGGUAAGCUUACGGUGUCUUCGGACGCUGUGGGAAAAGUAGGCCUCUGUUUACAAGCUUACGCUCUGAGAUGAGCCCGCGGCCCAUCAGCUAGUUGGCGGUGUAACGGACCACCAAGGCAACGACGGGUAGCUGGUCUGAGAGGACGAUCAGCCACACUGGAACUGAAACACGGUCCAGACUCCUACGGGAGGCGGCAGUGGGGAAUUUUCCACAAUGGGCGAAGGCCUGAUGGAGCAACGCCGCGUGUGUGAUGAAGGUUUUCGGAUCGUAAAGCACUUUCGACUGGGACGAAAAACCUUUGGCUAACAUCCAGGGGCCUGACGGUACCAGGAGAAGAAGCACCGGCUAACUCUGUGCCAGCCGCCGCCGUAAGAC
rnacentral:rRNA from 1 species